AGAAUCAACGCUGGCGGCGUGCCUAACACAUGCAAGUCGCACGAGAAAGUGGAGCAAUCCAUGAGUAAAGUGGCGCACGGGUGAGUAACACGUGAAUCAUCUACCUCCGAGUGGGGAAUAACCUAGAGAAAUCUGGGCUAAUACCGCAUAACAUCGCAAGAUCAAAGCAGCAAUGCGCUUAAAGAGGGGGUCGCGGCUGAUUAGCUAGUUGGCGGGGUAACGGCCCACCAAGGCGAAGAUCGGUA
rnacentral:rRNA from 1 species